UGACCAAGCUUUUCCAGCAGCGGGACUUCUACAAUAAGAAGUCUCCAUCCGAGCUUCCAUGACAACUGAUCUUCGAUCGAGCUUCUACAAUAAUCGACCUCCUUUCGGACUCCUACGAGAGCUGGACUCCGUCCGAACUUCUACAGCAGAACCGUAUCCCAGACUCCUCCAACGUUCGACCUUUCGUAGUGUCCUCAAGACUCCUCCAGC
rnacentral:lncRNA from 1 species